rnacentral:tRNA from 1 species
CCUGGUGGCUCAGACGGUAAAGCAUCUGCCUACAAUGCAGGAGACCCUGGUUCGAUCCCUGGGUCAGGA